CCCCGGCAGGGCCGCAGGAGGCCGUGGGCCGCUGUCGCCGGGCCGCGGCAAGGCCGGGGAAUCGCCGCCGGCCGGUUCAACCUGCGCCGCGGC
rnacentral:tRNA from 1 species